rnacentral:rRNA from 1 species
ACGCGUGGGGAAUCUGCCUUCGAGCGGGGGACAACAUUUGGAAACGAAUGCUAAUACCGCAUAAAAACAUUAAACACAAGUUUUAAGUUUGAAAGAUGCAAUUGCAUCACUCGAAGAUGAUCCCGCGUUGUAUUAGCUAGUUGGUGAGGUAAAGGCUCACCAAGGCGAUGAUACAUAGCCGACCUGAGAGGGUGAUCGGCCACAUUGGGACUGAGACACGGCCCAAACUCCUACGGGAGGCAGCAGUAGGGAAUCUUCGGCAAUGGACGAAAGUCUGACCGAGCAACGCCGCGUGAGUGAAGAAGGUUUUCGGAUCGUAAAACUCUGUUGGUAGAGAAGAACGUUGGUGAGAGUGGAAAGCUCAUCAAGUGACGGUAACUACCCAGAAAGGGACGGCUAACUACGUGCCAGCAGCCGCGGUAAUACGUAGGUCCCGAGCGUUGUCCGGAUUUAUUGGGCGUAAAGCGAGCGCAGGUGGUUUAUUAAGUCUGGUGUAAAAGGCAGUGGCUCAACCAUUGUAUGCAUUGGAAACUGGUAGACUUGAGUGCAGGAGAGGAGAGUGGAAUUCCAUGUGUAGCGGUGAAAUGCGUAGAUAUAUGGAGGAACACCGGUGGCGAAAGCGGCUCUCUGGCCUGUAACUGACACUGAGGCUCGAAAGCGUGGGGGAGCAAACAGGAAUUAGAUACC